CGUGCGUCAUCGAGCUCUUCCUGGUCUAAACCCUUUCUCACGGAUUCGAUUCGGUGCCGUCGACGUGAAAAGUAAGCUACUCGUCGUGAAUGGAGCCGUGAAGCCGAAGGCUCUCUCAAUUGGCAGUGUACGAAUUCUUGGAAGGAAGAAGGAGACCGGCCGUGGCAGGUCUUGGAGCUCGCAUCGUCCAACGCUGAAUCACAGUCGAGAUCAGCCAUCUUUACCCAUUUUUUUUUUCACCUUCGGGCUCACAUUCAGAUCUGCCCGGAUGUGUACGAUCACGGUAGUAUUCUAACAACUAAGUGGAUAAUAUAUAUAUCAAAAACGAAUAAUAUGAAAAUGCGUAGGUAUGUACGAUGAAUUUCUUAUUAUUCUCAAUUAAAUUCUUUCCAUACAAUUAUUUCGUUUAACAAACAAACGUGAUGUUUUUAACAUUCGAUUUGACUAUUUCCAUUCAAAUCAUAUUUUUAAACAAAUGAUUACAUCGUACAAUAAAUCAUUUUUUCACUGUUUAUUACAAUAUUCUUUCUUUACGUAUAAUGAAGAGUCCUUUUCGUUUAAUUGUUUAUUAAUAAACGUAUAAUAUUAAAACAUUUGGAAUAUCUUAUUAUUAAUCAUCUCAUAUUUCACUUCGGUUUAUAGCUUUAUUUGAACACACACACACACACAGACACACACACACACACAUACACAUACACAUAUAUAUAUAUAUAUAUACGUGAGCGUGAAUAUAUAUAUAUAUAGACAAGGAAAGUUUUAUUUCGGCAUAAUAAAGACCAAUUUAUGUUUUUUCAAACCCGAUAACAUUUGUGUGUCAUGCUAAUAGUUUUUGUCAAUACUGUUAGCGAAAUUCCAAGAAAGGCAGCUGAAAUUUUUGUAAUCAAUUUCUUUUCGAUGUUUGUGCUACUAUGAUUCAUACUUUAAUCGUGAAUGAAUGUAUAUGAUUGGAAAAAAAGAUACAAUUUUAAAUAGAAUAUUAUAAAGAGAGAAAAUAAGUGUGUGAACAUAUAACGUUUCAUAUUUUUUUAUUUUUCAUUUCUUUUCAUAUCUUUAACCUUUUACAAUUGAAGUGUAUAACUAAAGAGCAGUGAAAUCAUAAAUUAAGAAAAAACUGAAUUUGAAUGCUUUUAAAGUAUAUACAGUUGUAAUAUGUAUUAAUCUCAGAUUUAAUAUGUUAAUAAUUUCAUCAAAUAACUUAUAAAUAUUUUAUGAUAAGAUAAUAUAUCUUUGUUAAAAUUUUUAAUAUAUUAAAAAUGUACAUGGUUUUUUUUUUUUUUUAA